GAUCCUGGCUCAGGAUGAACGCUAGCUACAGGCUUAACACAUGCAAGUCGAGGGGAAACGAUAUUGGUAGCUUGCUUCCGAUAGGCGUCGACCGGCGCACGAGUGAGUAACGCGUAUCCAACCUGCCCAUCACUUGGGAAUAACCUUGCGAAAGUAAGACUAAUGCCCAACUGACAUUUAUAGAAGGCAUCUGAAAUAGAAUUAAAGAUUAUCGGUGAUGGAUGGGGAGUGCGU
rnacentral:rRNA from 1 species